ensembl:lncRNA
AUUUACAACCCCAAGGACUGUCGCCUGCCAGGCUCCUCAGUCCAUGGGCUUCUCCAGGCAAGAACACUGGAGUGGGUUGCCGUUUUCUCCUCCAGGGAAUCUUCCUGACCCUGGGACUGAACCUGCAUCUCCUGUGGCUCCUGCAUUGCAGGAAGAGUUCCCAUGUACAGGAACAGACUGACCGUCCCCAUGUAAUCCACAUUUCAAUACUGCAUCUUGUCAGCACAAAGGAAUGAAUCCCUAAUGGGGAUCUUCCCAACUCAGGGAUCAAACCCAUGUCUCUUGUGUCUCCUGCAUUGGCAGUCAUUGAGCCGCCAGGGAAGCCUACGUGUAUGGUUCUUCUGUCCAUGGAAUUCUCCAAGCAAGAAUACUGGAGUGGGUUGCCAUGCCCUCCUCCAGGAAUCUUUCCAACCCAGAGAUCAAACCUGUGUCUCCUGGAGCUCCUGCAUUGUCAGGUUAUUACAAGAUACUGAAUAGUGCUCCUUCUGCUAUAAAGCCCUGAAACAAUUUGCUUAAAGUGAUAGUUACCUCUAAUGAAAAGAUACAUAACGGAAAAUGUCAGCAACCUUUUAAAUCCUCCACAACUUAUCAUGAAGACCGUCUUGUGCAAAGUGCUCGUGGUGAAGCAACUUCUUUUGUCUCCGAUUCCUCCUAAAUUAGGUGGAUUCUUUACCAGCUGACCUACCAUGGAGAGAAAUUGCAGCUUGCCCUCCGUCUCCUAUUGCUGAUGAUCCUUCAGUUCUACCAUCUCCCGGUUCCUGUCCCUCCUCUAGUCUGUAACUCUUCUUGCCUGUUCAGCCCCUUAUUACCAGCAGUUGUACUGUACUACUGUACUUUUCAGGGUACUGUACGAUUAAAAUGUUUUAAUUUUUUGUUCAUUUUAAUGUAUUAUUUGCAUGAAAAGCAUUGUACACCUAUUACAGAACAGUACUAUAUAGCCACUUGUGUUAGUUGGGAACCCAGGCUAAGUUUGUUGGACUUAAUGAUCAAACCAGACUCACUAACCCUCUCUCUGAAUGGAACUCUUUCAUAUGUAGGGGACUCACUGUAUUUGCAAAGAUAUGGGCAGG